rnacentral:tRNA from 1 species
GCCAAGGUAGUAUAGUGGUAGUACAUCGCGUUGUGGAAACACAGAACCGCGUCGACCCGAGUUCGAUUCUCGGCCUUGGCA